UAAAAGAGACUUGUUUUUCAGAGGCAAUAAGUGCGUGAAAGCAUAUUUUCAUUAUUUUGGGUAUGUUUUCAUUUCAUUGAACAAAGCAUCUCCUCAAAACCUUUCACAUUUUUGGCAAAGCAUCUCUGCUUUUCUUCUCUGUUGUACUAUUAAACCAGUUCAGGCUCCCACAACCACUCGUUUUCAUCCUCAUCCACAUUCCCACUCUCUAUAAAAUUAUAACAUCCUCUCAACCCCAAUUACACCAUCAUUUCUUAGAGCCUCUUGGGUGAGAAAGAAAAUUAUUUUUAGGUGAAGUCUCACAGAGGAAGGGAUUUCUAUAAGGGAAAAAAAAUAUUUAUUUAUUUUAAAUUUUUUUUCCUUUAUAAAAAUCCUCUACUCUGUGAGACUUUCCGUUCUUUGGUUUUGAUUUUGUUGAGGCUCUAAAGUUCGUUUGUGUUUCUGUUAUUUGAUUUUCUUAAGUGAAAAAAUCAAACAUCUUACAAAAUCCUCUACACACAGACCUUCAACUGAAACAUUCUUACCUUCACUCACAUUUUCAUCCCUUAAGUCUCAAACAAAACCACCCACUCUGAGCUAACAUCAAACAUGCACCUUGAAAAACACUCAUAAACUCUCUCUCUCUCUCUUCAUCGCUACCAAAACCCCACCAUAAAUAUGCCUCUACCAAAAAAGUAGCAGCCAGACAUGUUGAUCUCUUUCCAACAUCAUUAUUAUUGCUACAAUGAAUCAGUAAAACCAUUGUGGACAGUUCCAACUGCUCUUAGAGAUGGGUCAAUUUUCCUAAACUCGUUUAAUAUGGGUUGGAUUUGCAAGUUUGGUUUAAUCCUUUUGGGCUGAGUCAACCCAUCUCAAUAAUGCCCUAGCUUGUGGAGAAAGAGAGCCACUAUUGAUGCUAUCAACGAGUGGUGGCUGAAAUUUGGUGCUAUCAACGAGCUGACAGCUUUGUGGCUGAAAUUUGGGCUCUCCGGGAUGGUCUCCAGCUUUGCCGUCAACUGAACAUUGGUGCUGUUGUGAUUGAACUUGAUGCAAAGUCGCUGGUGGACGUUCUAAAUAAUUCUUCAUAUUGUAAUAUUGUGAUUUCUCCCCUGCUGGAUGAUUGCAAGCUCUUAAUUGAUCAAUUCCCUCAGGUUCGUGUUGAGCAUACUUUCCGGGAAGCCAACAAAUGUGCGGAUCGUUUAGCUAAGUUUGGUCUGGCUCAAUCUAUGGUUUUUUCUGUU